rnacentral:rRNA from 1 species
UACGUAGGUGGCAAGCGUUGUCCGGAAUUAUUGGGCGUAAAGCGCGCGCAGGUGGUUUCUUAAGUCUGAUGUGAAAGCCCACGGCUCAACCGUGGAGGGUCAUUGGAAACUGGGGAACUUGAGUGCAGGAGAGAAGAGUGGAAUUCCACGUGUAGCGGUGAAAUGCGUAGAUAUCAAGAGGAACACCCUGAGGUGAAGACGGGUUGCUAGGCUGACACUGACGCUGAGGCGCGAAAGCCAGGGAGCAAACGGG